rnacentral:lncRNA from 1 species
AUGGGUGCAACCAUUUUGCUUCUGGCUAUGGCAGUUUCUCUAAUCCCUCCCUUGCUAUCCUCCAGGCUUGAACAGAAGUGGAAAGGGUGCCUUCUACAGCAAAAUGGUAGUGUCUGGAAUGGGUGCUUUGGUUGCUAUGGAGGGAAGAAGGAAAUACGACACAGACCUAGGGUUAACUUACACGCUGCAUGGAAUGUGAAGUGAUCCAAGCCUGCAGCUAAAAGAAGCAAAGACCUUGCACCUCGAAUUCACUGCUGUCAUGGAGGCAGUGCAUCAAUUUACCAGACGGAAGGCUCCUUUUCGCGGUGGAGGGUCUACCAUGCCCUGAAGCUGGCUGUGAAAAGAGCAGCCUUGGUAACAAUCCAUUUUCUCAACUUCAUUCAAGCGGAAGAGCCCAUAAGUCUUGACAUUCUGCCCCCAGCAAUCUAAAGUCUCCUCCCUGCCCUUCCCUUGUUCCACAUGUACUAGGCCAGCAUUUGACAAAGCCCAGGAUUAUUUAAUGAAUGAGCCAAAGAAAGAGCAUCCCUUUCCAUAUCCCCCAUUGCAGCUUUAGAUUCCCCCAGAAAGCAGUGAGAUGAAAUUCAACUCUUUAAACUUCUUAGGUUUUACUGAUUUCCAUGUCACCUGAUUUAAAUACAUGCAAAUACUAAAUGUGUCUUUUGCUCAAGUUGUAAGUAAGCUUCAAAAAUCAGCAGGUAGCCAGCAACAAAAAACUAGGAAACAACAACACAAGUUAAAUAACCCAAAUGGCAUUGUGAGGGUGAAAUGAUUGACAUUCUACUGAUAAAACAAUAUAAUUUUAAACAAGUAUCAUCACCUGGAAUUGUAUUCCUCUAUCACAAAAUGCAUUGAGUGUAUUCUGAACCAAUGUGAAAUAUCAGCCUUACUUACCUUGUAAUGGGGUUGCCUUUGAAGAUAGUUUGGAAACUUCAACUGGUCCAGAGAUUGGCAGCCAGAUUAUUAACUGGAGUGCUGUACAGAGAGCAGACAACUUCCAUGUUGCGGCAGCUCCACUGGCUACCAAUCCGUUUCUAGGCGCAAUACAAAGUAUUGGUCAUUACCUACAAAGCCCUAAAUGGUUUGGGUCCAAACUAUUUGACAAACUGCAUCCCUGCCUAUAAACUCACCCGGAUACUGCAAUCAUUGGAGGAGACCCUCCUCUCAGUCCCACCCAUGUCUCAAGCGCAGCUGGUGGGAAUGAGAGAGGGGGCUUUACGUGUGGUCGUCCCUUCCCUCUGGAACUCCCUCCCUAAAGAAAUCAGAACUGUCCAAUUUCUCCUCUCCUUCAAGAAACACCUAAAAGCUUAUUUGUAUACACUAGCUUAUGGAGAGGAAGAUUAUUAGUUUUUACCAUCGAUUCUAACCUUUUGGACAAAGUUGACAAUGACAACGAUUACUCUAACUUAAUGAAGAGCUAUAUACUUAUAUAUCUUAUAUUCUUAUAUUCAUAUACUUUUAUACUUAAUUUUUUAAUUCAGAUUGUAAUGGUUUAGUCUGUUCGUGGUGUUAUUUAUGAGGCCUGAAUGAGUUACAUGUUUUAGCCAAGGUUGUUCAAUUGUUCUAUUUUUAACUGUUUUUUAAUUGUUUGCUCUAUUUGUCUUAAUCUAGUAUUGUAUAUGGUAUUGAAUGUUUAUCAUUUUUGGAAGCCAUCUUGAGUCCCUCCAGGGAGAGCGGGCAGGUUAAAAAUAAAGUUUAUCCUCCUCCUCCUCCUCCUCCUCCUCCAAGGGACAAACUGAUGAUUCAUGUAGAAGAAUGAUGGUCAAAUAUAAAAGCUUAGUAUAACGUGGAUAUGAUUUUCCCAAACCAUGUGACUUACCACUGGGUAUUGCUUAUCACAGAAAAAGGAAGACAUUCACCUCCUGGAUGUUUUGGAUUUUGAAGCCCCAUCAAUGUGGCCAAUGGGAAGCAACUGUGAGAGUUAUAGUUCAGAAUAUCUAGAAAGCCAAUGGUUCCGCACCCUAAUAUAGGUGCAUCAGAUUUAGAUGGUCUAUCCUAAACUAACAAAUAUGCACCAUGGCCUGACACAAUAACAAGAAAGCAUUUCUCUGUUCUUUAUUCUUUCUUUCAUAUUGGAAGAAAGGCAGGAUACAAAUAAAAUCAGAUCAAAUAAAAUCAAUAAAUAUUACUUCUGCAACCCUGAUUACCUCUGUCCAAAUUUCCCAAUAGCACAUUUGUUUCCACAUUGCAUUUAUGACACCAUGAGGUACAAACUAGGAAUGUACUAAUUCCUGGGAUCCUAUGAAUGAGAGAUCUCCACGAGCUCUGAUCACCAACAGCACUACUCAGUCUGUAGCAUCCUUGACUGAGUCAAUCCACUUGUAAUGACUUCUUUUUUCUACUGAGCAUUAUUUUUUUAUCUCAUGAUAUGUCCAAAGUAUGAUAACCUCACUUUAGGCAUUUUCAUUUCUAGUGGGAGCUUAUACUAGAUAUGCUCUUGGUCACAUUUAUUUAUCUUUUUGACAGCCCAUGGUAUCUGUAGAACACCUUUAGCACCUAUACAUAGAUGUUUUAAACACUUUGGCCUUUUCCAGCUUGAAUGUUUUCUUAUUCCUCUACUGUAAUGGUUAUUCUUCUUCUCAUGCAGAGAUAAUAUAAUCUUAGUUAAUCAGUUUAAUUUUAUGGUCUCCAAUGUUUCUGAGCGAGAGUGCAUUCCGGCAGAAGGACAGAAUACAAAUCAUAGAAAGAAAGGAAUAUGCAAACACACACACACACACACACACACAAUCUCCCAUGAGAAGAUGCUGGAAACAGCACUAAAAAUAAUCAAAUAUUUAGGGGACUGAUAAGCAACACUAGUCAGAAAGAGAUCCAACAACUUCUUAUGCCACCUCAGACAUAUCAGGUUCAUAAGUAAAGCUGCUCUUUCAAAGCUGUCAAUAAUGCAGGGAAAAUGGAUGACCCUGCAAAUUACAGACCUAUUAGCCUCCUCAAUACAGUUAGCAAAUUAUACACAAGACAUCUACAAUGGAAACUUCAGGAGUGACUGGAACAGGAAAACAUACUUGCCGAGGAGCAAGCUGGAUUUAGGGAAGGACAAUCCAUCAUAGACCAAUAUCUCGUAUUAUAACAUCUAAUGAAGACAACAUAGAGCGAAGAUGUGUUAGGGGAAGAGUAUUUUCUCUUCCCCUAACACAUCUAUGUCACCUUCAUAGACUUUAAAGCAGCUUUUGACUCCAUUUCCUGAGUUAGGUUAUGGGAAAAACUUGAGACCUCCUCAAUCGACGACUGCUAUUCUUAAUCUGCCUAUUUCUUGAAAGGACCUCACUCAAAACAAGAUACAACCCUCAGGGCCACCUAACCAAUGCAGUAGGAACUGAGAAAGGUGUCAAGCAAGGUUGCAUUUUGGCUCACUACUUUUCAACUUUUACAUCAACUUCCUGGUGGAUCAUCUUCUCAACAUGGACUUUCACUCCACAAAACUUGCAGGAAGACAUAUCUCCACCUUUCUUUAUGCAGAUGCUGCUGUACUACUUUCAAGAAUAUCUAUUGGUCUAAAAAGAGCAUUGAGAGCAUUAAUACAAUACUGCAAUGCAGAUCAGUUAUAAUUCAACUACCAGAAAACAAAAAUCAUGGUAUUUGCCAAAGGACCCAAGAGUCACUUCUGGAGUAUAGACGGACAUAAAAUCGAGUAGGACCCAUGUUUCAAAUAUCUGGGAGUAGCUUUUCACUCUUCCAACAGUAGAAAAGCACAUGGGAACCAUGUGACUGAGGUGAUGAAGGAGCUCUAUAGCCACCCUAAAAUACCUCAAGACUAAAAUACCUGAAGCCAAAUCAGUAGCACAGCUCCUGUAUGGGGCCAAGCUUGGCCCCUUCUCCAAUUUUGCCCCACUCAAGCUUGUGCAAUCAAAAAUUUUAAGA